GACGAACGCUGGCGGCGUGCUUAACACAUGCAAGUCGAACGGUGAAGCUCCAGCUUGCUGGAGUGGAUCAGUGGCGAACGGGUGAGUAACACGUGAGCAACCUGCCCCUGACUCUGGAAUAAGCGCUGGAAACGGCGUCUAAUACUGGAUACGAGAAGGGUCCGCAUGGGCACUUUCUGGAAAGUUUUUCGGUUGGGGAUGGGCUCGCGGCCUAUCAGCUUGUUGGUGAGGUAACGGCUCACCAAGGCGACGACGGGUAGCCGGCCUGAGAGGGCGACCGGCCACACUGGGACUGAGACACGGCCCAGACUCCUACGGGAGGCAGCAGUGGGGAAUAUUGCACAAUGGGCGAAAGCCUGAUGCAGCGACGCCGCGUGAGGGAUGACGGCCUUCGGGUUGUAAACCUCUUUCAGCAGGGAAGAAGCGAAAGUGACGGUACCUGCAGAAGAAGCACCGGCUAACUACGUG
rnacentral:rRNA from 1 species